GCAAGUUGAUUUUAUCACGUCCUACACCGUCCAUAAGAUGGGGGGCCACCUCCCAUUUCAUCACCUCUCAAACACCCCGAGAGGUCGGCAGACGGAUUUGAACUCGGACACGCUGGGACGUGACGGGAGCAGAAGCCAGGCCUUAACCUCUGCCAGCCGCCUGCCGUUGAUGUUGUUACAGGGUGGUUAAGCUUCACCAGUAGCCUCCUUCCCGUGGCAAUUCCCUGCUCUCCCCUGCUCGAGGGGCACCCUAAUCCAUUCACCCCAUCCGACUUCAGAGUGUUCUCUUUGAGUUUGGCAACUCACCACCAGCAUCCAACCAAAUCUAGCGGAUCAAUGGCGCCUCAACUUAGUUCCUGGUCAGCUCACAAGUUGAUUUUAACACAUCCUACACCGUCCAUAAGAUGGGGGGCCAUGGAUCCGGAAGGUGGUGCCACCUCCCAUUUCACCACCUCUCAAACACCCGAGAGGACGGUAGACGGAUUUGAACCCAGAUCGGCCAGGAGCAGAAGUCAGGCCUUAACCUCUGCCAGCAUCCUGCUGCAACAAACCUUGCCUUAAAUCACUCAAGCUCCUGUAUAUGUGUGUAUGUAUGUAUGUUGUUACAGGGUGGUUAACUUCGCCAGCGGCCCCCUUUCCCGGGGCAGUCCCUGCUCUCCCCUGCUAGAGGGGCACCCUAAUCCGUCACCCCAUCCGACUUCAGAAUGUAUUCGUUGGGUUCGGCAACUCACCACCAGCAUCCAACCAAAUCUAGCGGAUCAACGGCGCAUCAACUUAGUUCCUGGUCAGCUCGCAAGUUGAUAUUAUCACGUCCUACACCGUCCAUAAGAUGGGGGGCCACCUCCCAUUUCAUCACUCCUCAAACACCCGAGGAGCCGGCAGGCGGAUUUGAACCCGGGUCGACUGGGUCGACUGGGAGCAGAAGUCAGGCCUUAACCUCUGCCAGCCGCCUGCAUAAUAAAUGGAAUGUGGACUUCAUGCCAGGGUCAUGUCUGUUUGUGGUUCUGACACGGAUAAUUCAUUUUAUUUACAGGCCCAUUUCCAACUGGUUAACAUCUCACCUGGAGGAUCCAGGAACUUUUCAAAUGCUUCAGCAUUGCAACCUGACUCAGCAACAACGGGGCUCUGUGCCAGGUUUUGCUUGUGACAUUCUUGACACCCUCCCUGGUUUGGGAGACAAUCAUCAUACAGACAGUAUGAUGCUGCAUGUUGGAGUGCACACCGAUGGUGUAAAUCCCUUCAAGUUUAAGUCAUCAUAAUCAAUGUGGCCACUGGUUUUAACUCUGUACAACAUAAGUCCUGACUACAGGUAUGUGCACGUCAGCUCACCACUACCUCUGAGUUCACUUGUGAUACUAAACUGCUAUCUUUGUCAUCAUCGUCUGUGUGUAGGUACCGUCCUAGCCUGAUUGGUUUGUGUGGCAUUAUUCCUGGCAAACGUGAUGAAAACGGCUGUGGAGGUUCAGUACCUAUCCAUGAUGACCUUGCUGGCUGAGGAGCUAACAUUUCUAAACACGGAAGGGCUGCCCUACACACAUCCAGUGAAUGGGAUGCCUGCAGUUGCUAAAGUUCAAUUACAAGUGCUUGGUGGUGUUUACCGUGCAGUCGAGAAGGUUGCAGGUAUCAGUGGUGCACCCACAUCUGUGUACAGCUGCUUCAAGUGUUGGCACCCAGGGACUUGGGGUCCCAGCAAGUACCUGUAUGGGCAAUUUUCACUUUCUGAGUAAAUCUUCCCCAUUGUGAAGGCUGGCAGCUGAUCUCAAUAUUGAGAUGCAUGCCUCAGAGGUAGCAACAAAGAAAGCAGCAGGAUGCAAGAAAGUCAAGGGGUUGAUGGUGCUGUUCUCCCUCCCAGCUUCACCGGCUGAAAUUGCUUGUGACAUGGCCAGGUUUGUAUCCAGUUGUACAUGUCCUUAAAGCUGCUGUUGUGGCCCUUAAAAGCAUAAGCAUGACAACCUGGGAAUUGUCUUGUACAUUCUUCCCUUGGAACCCCACAGCUUCCCAGGAGAGAGAAGUGCAAACUUAAAAUCAAGCAAGAAGAGCAAGGAUGACAUACUCACCAAAGGAUGCAAGCAGCGGGAUGCCAUGGGUGGUCAUCCCCAGGCACCUGCCAUACACACACAGACAACAAUAGGCGGCAGGCGGCAGGCGGCUGGCAGAGGUUAAGGCCUGGCUUCUGCUCCCGACGCGUCCCGGCGCGUCCGGGUUCAAAUCCGCCUGCCGACCUCUCGGGGUGUUUGAGAGGUGAUGAAAUGGGAGGUGGCCCCCCAUCUUGUGGACGGUGUAGGACGUGAUAAAAUCAACUCGCGAGCUGACCAGGAACUAAGUUGACGCGCCGUUGAUCCGCUAGAUUUGGUUGGAUGCUGGUGGUGAGUUGCCAAACUCAAAGAAGUCGGAUGGGGUGAAUGGCUUAGGGUGCCCCUCUAGCAGGGGAGAGCAGGGAAUUGCCUCGGGAAGGAGGCCACUGGUGAAGCUUAACCACCCUGUAACAACAUCAACAAUAGGGGCCACCACCACCUGGCAGCAGCUCUGGCUUGCCCAAGCACCACCAGGGUGUGAGCAAGGCCCCUGGGUUGCAAAUCAUCCUAGCGGCCGCCAUGGAAGUCAGCAGAUGCUGCCUCUGAGCAGCAUUCCAGCAGCAGAGUCAAGUGGGGGUGACAGUGAUGGUGGGACAGCAGCAGCAUUGGCGACGGCAACAGCAGCAGGUGCAGACCAUGAUGGGGCAGCCCCAGCAGCAGAGGUCCUACCAGCUAGCCAUCACACACUUUUUCACCCAAGUGGGAGGUGCAGUGCAGCAAGAGGGACCCACCCUAAAUGCCCCAGCAGAUGACAGGCCAACAGGUGUGGGCCGGGUCGUGGUGGUAAUCCUUCUGGAAUAACAAUCAGCAUCAGCCGUCACCGUCGCCAAUUCUCCAAUAGGUUAUGAGCCCCGACUAGCACCGACAGCUAUCAUCCGAUUGUUAUUUCUAUCCCUUAUCGACAAUUGUUGUAUCCACUUCCACUGUUUAGGUGGUAGUGAAAACUACCGAUUAAUGAGAAGAGGCUAAAUGCCUCUGCGUUAGGACGACCCGUACAGAAG
rnacentral:lncRNA from 1 species